rnacentral:rRNA from 1 species
UCCUUCGGGAUUAGUGGCGGACGGGUGAGUAACGCGUGGGAACAUACCCAAAGGUACGGAAUAGCCUCGGGAAACUGAGAGUAAUACCGUAUGUGCCCUUCGGGGGAAAGAUUUAUCGGAGAAGGAUCGGCCCGCGUUGGAUUAGGUAGUUGGUGGGGUAAUGGCCUACCAAGCCGACGAUCCAUAGCUGGUUUGAGAGGAUGAUCAGCCACACUGGGACUGAGACACGGCCCAGACUCC